rnacentral:lncRNA from 1 species
GAUGGUGUCCGCUAAAGUACGAUGGUGUCUCACGCUAAAAUGCGAUGGUUGUUUGUUUGCUAAAGUACGAUGGCAUAUCACGCUAAAGUGCGAUGGACCAAUAGGUUCGAGGGCUUUAUAAAACGCGUUAAAGAACACUUAAUGUAAAAAUAGUCCUUUUGUAUAACCUAGUAUUAUAAGGUAUACUAUAUGUGAAAGGCAUUUUAAUUUAACCGUAGCCUUAAGUGAAUGAUUCUAAAAG